rnacentral:rRNA from 1 species
GAUGAACGCUAGCUACAGGCUUAACACAUGCAAGUCGAGGGGAAACGCCAUCGAAAGCUUGCUUUUGAUGGGCGUCGACCGGCGCACGGGUGAGUAACGCGUAUCCAACCUGCCCAUCACUUGGGAAUAACCUUGCGAAAGUAAGACUAAUACCCAAUGAUAUCCCACGAAGGCAUCGGAAUGGGAUUAAAGAUUUAUCGGUGAUGGAUGGGGAUGCGUCUGAUUAGCUUGUUGGCGGGGUAACGGCCCACCAAGGCAACGAUCAGUAGGGGUUCUGAGAGGAAGGUCCCCCACAGUGGAACUGAGACACGGUCCAAACUCCUACGGGAGGCAGCAGUGAGGAAUAUUGGUCAAUGGGCGAGAGCCUGAACCAGCCAAGUAGCGUGCAGGAAGACGGCCCUAUGGGUUGUAAACUGCUUUUAUAAGGGAAUAAAGUGGGUCACGUGUGACUUUUUGCAUGUACCUUAUGAAUAAGGACCGGCUAAUUCCGUG